AAAACUUCGAAGGAAUUCCUGAAGAAACUCCUAAGCAAAUCAGGGAGGAAUUCUGAAAAAAAAACUUUGGAGGAAUGCCUGGAGUAAUUCGGAAGGAAUUCUCGAAGAAACUUUGAAGGGAUUCCCGGCAGAGCCCUUAAGGAUGUCCCAGAGAAAGUCUGGAAG
rfam:Aedes aegypti strain Liverpool supercont1.13 genomic scaffold, whole genome shotgun sequence.